AUUGAACGCUGGCGGCAGGCCUAAUACAUGCCAGUCGAGCGGAUGAAGGGAGCUUGCUCCUGGCUUCAGUGGCGGACGGGCGAGUAAUGCCUAGGAAUCUGCCUGGUAGUGGGGGCUAACGUCAGGUAACGGGCGCUAAUAUCGCAUACGUUCUGAGGGUGAACGUGGGGGAUCUUUGGACCUCACGCUAUCUGCUGAGCCUAGGUCGGAUUAGCUAGUUGGUGUGGUAAAGGCCUACCAAGGCGACGAUCCGUAGCUGGUCUGAGAGGCUGAUCAGUCACACUGGAACUGAGACACGGUCCAGACUCCUACGGGAGGCAGCAGUGGGGAAUAUUGGACAAUGGGCGAAAGCCUGAUCCAGCCAUGCCGCGUGUGUGAAGAAGGUCUUCGGAUUGUAAAGCACUUUAAGUUGGGAGGAAGGGCAGUAAGUUAAUACCUUGCUGUUUUGACGUUACCAACAGAAUAAGCACCGGCUAACUUCGUG
rnacentral:rRNA from 1 species